rnacentral:rRNA from 1 species
AUUCCUACGGGAGGCAGCAGGGGGAAUAUUGGACAAUGGGCCACAAGCCUGAUCCAGCAAUUCUGUGUGCACGAUGAAGGUCUUCGGAUUGUAAAGUGCUUUCAGUUGGGAAGAAGAAAGUGACGGUACCAACAGAAGAAGCGACGGCUAAAUACGUGCCAGCAGCCACGGUAAUAAU